AACGAACGCUGGCGGCAGGCCUAACACAUGCAAGUCGAAGGAUAAGCCCUCUCGGGGGUGGACACUGGCGUACGGGUGAGUAACGCGUGGGAAUCUACCCGGUCGGGAGGAUGAACCGCUGGAAACGGCGGACUAAUACCGCAUACGCCGAAUUGGGAAAGCUUAGCGCCCUGGGAUGAGCCCGCGUUAGAUUAGCUUGUUGGUGGGGUAACGGCCUACCAAGGCGACGAUCUAUAGCUGGUCUGAGAGGAUGAUCAGCCACACUGGGACUGAGACACGGCCCAGACUCCUACGGGAGGCAGCAGUGGGAAUAUUGGACAAUGGGCGCAAGCCUGAUCCAGCCAUGCCGCGUGCGUGAAGAAGGCCCUUAGGGUUGUAAAGCGCUUUCACUGGUGAAGAUGAUGACGGUAGCCAGAGAAGAAG
rnacentral:rRNA from 1 species